AUGUCACCCCAAUGUCCCCUCAGUGUCCCCUCACUGUCCCCUCAAUGUCCCAAUGUCUCCUCAGUGUCUCCUCAGUGUCACUCAGUGUCCCCUCAGUGUCCCCAGUGUCACCCAGGUGUCCCCUCAGUGUCCCCCAAUGUCCCCUCAAUGUCUCUCAUUGUCCCCUCACUGUCCCUCAGUGUCACCUCAAUGUCCCCUCAAUGUCCCUUCAGCACCCAUUGCCGCCUCAUGGCCGGAUUUGUGGGGCUCGGGGGUCCAGUGCAGAAUCCUUGGGGGACUCGGGGGGUCCGGUGCGGAAUCCUUUGGGGGCUCGGGGGUCCGGUGCAGGAUCCUUUGGGGGGCUCGGGGGUCNNNNNNNNNNGGGGGUCCGGUGCAGGAUCCUUUGGGGGGCUCGGGGGUCCGGUGCAGAACCCCCCGGCUCCGGCCGGGCCCCCCGCGCCCUGCGCACCCCCAAAUCCCCGUCCCGCGGUGCCCCCCAACCUUCCGCGAUGCUUCCCCCGCACCGCCGGCAGGGGCAGCGCUCCCCGCCCGGCGCCUGCGCCCGCCGCGCCACCGGAGCCUCCGCCCGCCCCGAGCCGGGGGGGUCCCCCCUCCUCCGCCCCGGAGCCCCCCGAAACCCUCAGCGCCGCACAGCGAUGGGCUGAGCGUGCCCGGCAGCUUCCAGGCACGGGCCGGGCUGGGGGGUGCGGGAAACAAAGCCCCACCCCCCAAAAAAAACAUCAAAAAACCCUCGGGGGCGUCACCGAGACCCCCGCGGCCGCUGAGGGACCCCCCCGGUUUGCCCCGGUCCCGGUUGGAGGAGCGACAGCGCCGGGAGCAGCAGGUGGAGGGGGCGGGGGGUGUGGCCGGGAGGGUUUUUGGUUUUUUGGGGAGGGGGGUUGGGGUCGGGCACACCCCGCUGUGAGGCGUUUGGGGCAUUUUUGGGGACCCCCUCGCCGUGCCCAGCGUGGCUCUGCCCACCUAAACCCACGGGGAGGGGGCUGUGGUGGUGUCCCCCCUCCUGUCCCCCUCUGUCCCCCUCCUGUCCCCUCCUAUCGCCCUCUUGUCCCCUCCUGUCCCCUCUGUCCCCGUGCCCCCUCCGGGACCCUUUGCCCGCUCCGUCACGGGCACAGCACGGUGCCCACGCUCUGCCACCUUUGCCCCGGCUCCCGGUGA
rnacentral:lncRNA from 1 species